rnacentral:rRNA from 1 species
CACUAUCGUUAACUGAAUACAUAGGUUAACGAGGCGAACCGGGGGAACUGAAACAUCUAAGUACCCCGAGGAAAAGAAAUCAACCGAGAUUCCCCCAGUAGCGGCGAGCGAACGGGGAGCAGCCCAGAGUCUGAAUCAGCUUGUGUGUUAGUGGAACGGUCUGGAAAGUCCGACGGUACAGGGUGAUAGUCCCGUACACCAAAAUGCACAGGCUGUGAACUCGAAGAGUAGGGCGGGACACGUGGUAUCCUGUCUGAAUAUGGGGGGACCAUCCUCCAAGGCUAAAUACUCCUGACUGACCGAUAGUGAACCAGUACCGUGAGGGAAAGGCGAAAAGAACCCCGGCGAGGGGAGUGAAAAAGAACCUGAAACCGUGUACGUACAAGCAGUGGGAGCACCUUCGGGUGUGACUGCGUACCUUUUGUAUAAUGGGUCAGCGACUUAUAUUCUGUAGCAAGGUUAACCGUAUAGGGGAGCCGCAGGGAAACCGAGUCUUAACUGGGCGUUAAGUUGCAGGGUAUAGACCCGAAACCCGGUGAUCUAGCCAUGGGCAGGUUGAAGGUUGGGUAACACUAACUGGAGGACCGAACCGACUAAUGUUGAAAAAUUAGCGGAUGACUUGUGGCUGGGGGUGAAAGGCCAAUCAAACCGGGAGAUAGCUGGUUCUCCCCGAAAGCUAUUUAGGUAGCGCCUCGUGAAUUCAUCUUCGGGGGUAGAGCACUGUUUCGGCUAGGGGGUCAUCCCGACUUACCAACCCGAUGCAAACU